rnacentral:rRNA from 1 species
CUCUUUUCAGAAUUGAGUGGCAAACGGGUGAGUAACACGUAAACAACCUGCCUUCAGGAUGGGGACAACAGACGGAAACGACUGCUAAUACCGAAUAAGUUCCAAGGGCCGCAUGGCCCAUGGAAGAAAAGGUGGCCUCUACCUGUAAGCUAUCGCCUGAAGAGGGGUUUGCGUCUGAUUAGCUGGUUGGUGAGGUAACGGCCCACCAAGGCGACGAUCAGUAGCCGACUUGAGAGAGUGAUCGGCCACAUUGGAACUGAGACACGGUCCAAACUCC